rnacentral:rRNA from 1 species
UACGUAGGGGGCAAGCGUUGUCCGGAAUCAUUGGGCGUAAAGAGCGCGUAGGCGGCCCAGUAAGUCCGCUCUGAAAGUCAGGGGCUCAACCCCUGGAUGCGGGUGGAUACUGCUGGGCUAGAGUCCGGAAGAGGCGAGUGGAAUUCCUGGUGUAGCGGUGAAAUGCGCAGAUAUCAGGAGGAACACCGGUGGUGUAGACGGCUCUCUGGACCGUAACUGACGCUGAGGCACGAAAGCGUGGGUAGCAAACAGG